GACGAACGCUGGCGGCGUGCCUAAUACAUGCAAGUAGAACGCUGAAGGAGGAGCUUGCUCUUCUGGAUGAGUUGCGAACGGGUGAGUAACGCGUAGGUAACCUGCCUGGUAGCGGGGGAUAACUAUUGGAAACGAUAGCUAAUACCGCAUAACAGUAGAUGUUGCAUGACAUUUACUUAAAAGGUGCAAUUGCAUCACUACCAGAUGGACCUGCGUUGUAUUAGCUAGUUGGUGGGGUAACGGCUCACCAAGGCGACGAUACAUAGCCGACCUGAGAGGGUGAUCGGCCACACUGGGACUGAGACACGGCCCAGACUCCUACGGGAGGCAGCAGUAGGGAAUCUUAGGCAAUGGACGGAAGUCUGACCGAGCAACGCCGCGUGAGUGAAGAAGGUUGUCGGAUCGUAAAGAUCUGUUGUAAGAGAAGAACGAGUGUGAGAGUGGAAAGUUCACACUGUGACGGUAUCUUACCAGAAAGGGACGGCUAACUACGUG
rnacentral:rRNA from 1 species